rnacentral:rRNA from 1 species
ACAUGCAAGUCGAACGCACUUUCGUUGAAUGAAUUAGAGGUGCUUGCACCGAAGAUGAUUUUAGCUAUAAAGUGAGUGGCGAACGGGUGAGUAACACGUGGGUAACCUGCCCAGAAGUGGGGGAUAACACCUGGAAACAGAUGCUAAUACCGCAUAACAAAGUAAACCGCAUGGUUUACUUUUAAAAGAUGGCUUCGGCUAUCACUUCUGGAUGGACCCGCGGCGUAUUAGCUAGUUGGUGAGAUAAAGGCUCACCAAGGCAGUGAUACGUAGCCGACCUGAGAGGGUAAUCGGCCACAUUGGGACUGAGACACGGCCCAGACUCCUACGGGAGGCAGCAGUAGGGAAUCUUCCACAAUGGACGAAAGUCUGAUGGAGCAACGCCGCGUGAGUGAUGAAGGCUUUAGGGUCGUAAAACUCUGUUGUUGGAGAAGAACGUGUGUGAGAGUAACUGCUCAUGCAGUGACGGUAUCCAACCAGAAAGCCACGGCUAACUACGUGCCAGCAGCCGCGGUAAUACGUAGGUGGCAAGCGUUAUCCGGAUUUAUUGGGCGUAAAGCGAGCGCAGGCGGUCUUUUAAGUCUAAUGUGAAAGCCUUCGGCUUAACCGAAGAAGUGCAUUGGAAACUGGAAGACUUGAGUGCAGAAGAGGACAGUGGAACUCCAUGUGUAGCGGUGAAAUGCGUAGAUAUAUGGAAGAACACCAGUGGCGAAGGCGGCUGUCUGGUCUGUAACUGACGCUGAGGCUCGAAAGCAUGGGUAGCGAACAGGAUUAGAUACCCUGGUAGUCCAUGCCGUAAACGAUGAAUGCUAAGUGUUGGAGGGUUUCCGCCCUUCAGUGCUGCAGCUAACGCAUUAAGCAUCCGCCUGGGAGACACC